rnacentral:rRNA from 1 species
GUCUAUGGCCAUGCCACCCUGAACAAGCCCGAUCCUGGAAGCUAAGAAAGGUCAGUUCUGGUUAGUACUUGGAUGGGAGACCAGCUAGGAUCCCAGGUGCUGUAGGCA